CAUUCACUGAAACCUAAGUAGCUACAUCUUUACCAUACCUUAACUUCUCUCUGGAGUACAAAAAGCAUAUAAUGUCCAUUUGGGUCACCCAGGAAUGAGCCCACAGUCGCUUUUCCCCCUGUUUUAAGUUUCUUCAGCACAAAAGCGCUUUCAUCAUGCAAAGCGCUUCUGUAGCCGUGAUUCUCAGAUUCUAUCCUCUUCCCCCGCGAUGACCUACGAACUCACGCGAGGACGCGGACGAUGAUUGGUCGGUGACUAACCUGUAGUGUUGCCAGUCCCCCGAGAACGACGCAAAACGAAAAUAACUGCUUAAUCUGACAUAGUGAACAUUGUGAGGGACAAAAAUGUUGUGUAGUCUGAGCUUGGCAUAACACUAACUUUACCUGGUGCAGAUGCGCUCACUGCACUGCCGUGCUGACUGCAACCGAGUGGAUUUGCUGUCAGGAGGCUAACGUGAACCAUUUGCUCUGAUAUCGUCCCUGCAGAACCCUGAGCAGAACUUUUCAGAUGCUUUUCCAAGAGCGAGAAGUUUUGGAGGUGUCUAUACUCUCUCUACGUGAGUUCCGUGCAGAAACCCUGGAGCCCGUCAACAGCAGUGCUCUCGCUCAUCAUGUUGUGGGUUGAAGGAAGCUCUCUGUGGAAGAGCUGCAGAGAUCUCACUUCCCAGAGCUGCACUGUGGGUGCUGGGUGUCACAUGACAAAUACUCUCCCAGAGCUGUGCAGAAGACCAACCCCAGCAUUCCAGAGCUGUCACCAGUAACUAAGGCGCUGUUGACUGACGGCUGGUAACCGGAGCUG
rnacentral:lncRNA from 1 species